rnacentral:rRNA from 1 species
CCUACGGGUGGCAGCAGUGAGGAAUAUUGGUCAAUGGGCGGGCGCCUGAACCAGCCAAGUCGCGUGAAGGAUGAAUGUCCUUCGUGUUGUAAACUUCUUUUGUCGGGGAACCAAGGCGGAGACGCGUCUCCGGAUGAGUGUCCCCGAAGAAAAAGCAUCGGCUAACUCCGUGCCAGCAGCCGCGGUAAUACGGAGGAUGCGAGCGUUAUCCGGGUUUAUUGGGUUUAAAGGGUGCGCAGGCGGGGGAUAAAGUCAUCGGUAAACUGUCGGGGCUCAACCCCGUACCGCCGUUGAAACUGGUUUUCUAGAGUUGGAGAGAAGUAGGCGGAAUUCGUGGUGUAGCGGUGAAAUGCAUAGAUAUCACGAAGAACUCCGAUUGCGAAGGCAGCAUACCGGCUCCAUACUGACGCUGAGGCACGAAAGCGUGGGGAUCGAACAGGAUUAGAUACCCCAGUAGUC